AUGCACUCUGCAUUCUGCAGAUUACGCCAUACUUAUUUGCAUGUCAUGCUAUAUGAACAGACACUGUGGUUGUGAUUGUUAUGCUGGGAACGAUGUUCCUCAUGGUCCCAGUAAUGCUGCUAGGAUGGAAGAAGCACUGGAUCCUUGUUGUCACAUUCCUUGAGCUCUCGUUGAUGGAGGAUAAAUGGAAAUAAGUGAUCAUCUAGUGGAGACAGAGAUAACAAGUGAGACAAACUGCAGCGUACCAAGUAGAGACAAACUGCUGCAUUGUGGUAUGUUGCUGUCUGUCAGAAUCCGCCACGCCAUAUAGUUGCCAUCAGGAGGGUCGACGACAAGAACACGAGUGACAACCUUUGUAGUUAUAUGUUUUGUCGAUGUAAAUUGGAUUGUACCGGUUCCUAAUCCUAUGGAUGGUUGCAUAUUGAGUGAUUUUGUCAAUAUAUGGUGCAUAUUAUCAUUUCAUGGAGGAUAUUAUAAACUGCUAGGUUCUACAUACCUAUAAAUGGUUGCAUAUU